rnacentral:misc_RNA from 1 species
GUCCUUUCUUAAUUUAUUCAAUUAAGAAACAUUUUACUUUUCUUUAGUUUCAUUUUGCUAAGAUUACGAGCUUAGCUUCUAUUCCAGCACACAGAUUCUUCAUCUUUGUCUUUCUACAGUGUGUCCUUUGUCUCGGUGUUUUUGGGUUCCAUAGUAAAUUGGUGUUAUCUUUUGGAGCUGAAAUUCCAUAACAUGUUCAUUUCUGGGUUGCAAUUUUAGAGGUGA